UUAAGUUCAGCGGGUAGUCCUACCUGAUUCGAGGUCAGAUUUCAAAGUGUGCUUGACCGCCGCUCAGACGGCAGUCGAGGUGGGGGACACGAGGCCCGGUCGGACGAGGACAAUACAACGCCCGUGGGUGCUCGGAGACCCCACCGAUGCAUUCAAAGGGAGCCGCGUCGCGCGGCGAGCACCCCGAACCGAUCCGCCGC
rnacentral:misc_RNA from 1 species